rnacentral:rRNA from 1 species
UGGGGAAUAUUGCACAAUGGGGGAAACCCUGAUGCAGCGACGCCGCGUGAACGAAGAAGGUAUUCGUAUCGUAAAGUUCUGUCCUAUGGGAAGAUAAUGACAGUACCAUAGAAGAAAGCUCCGGCUAAAUACGUGCCAGCAGCCGCGGUAAUACGUAUGGAGCGAGCGUUGUCCGGAAUUAUUGGGCGUAAAGGGUACGCAGGCGGUUUAAUAAGUCGAAUGUUAAAGAUCGGGGCUCAACCCCGCAAAGCAUUGGAAACUGAUAAACUUGAGUAGUGGAGAGGAAAGUGGAAUUCCUAGUGUAGUGGAGAAAUACGUAGAUAUUAGGAGGAAUACCAGUGGCGAAGGCGACUUUCUGGACACAAACUGACGCUGAGGUACGAAAGCGUGGGGAGCAAACAGG